rnacentral:tRNA from 1 species
GAGGGUAUAGUUCAGUGGUAGAGCGCAUGCUUAGCAUGCAUGAGGUCCUGGGUUCAAUCCCCAGCACCUCCA